rnacentral:rRNA from 1 species
AACGAACGUUAGCGGCGCGCCUAACACAUGCAAGUCGCACGAGAAAGGGCUUCGGCCCCGGUAAAGUGGCGCACGGGUGAGUAACACGUGGGUAACCUGCCCGCGAGCGGGGGAUAACAUUCCGAAAGGAGUGCUAAUACCGCAUAAGACCACGCUCUCGCGAGAGAGAGAGGUCAAAGCUGGCCGCGCUACAUAAGCUAGCACUCGAGGAUGGGCCCGCGGGGCAUCAGCUAGUUGGUGGGGUAAUGGGCCACCAAGGCUAAGACGCCUAGCUGGUCUGAGAGGAUGAUCAGCCACACUGGAACUGAGACACGGUCCAGACUCCUACGGGAGGCAGCAGAGGGGAAUCUUGCGCAAUGGGCGAAAGCCUGACGCAGCGACGCCGCGUGAGUGAUGAAGGCCUUCGGGUUGUAAAGCUCUGUGGGGAGAGACGAAUAAGUGCGGGCUAAUACUCCGCAUGAUGACGGUAUCUCCUUAGCAAGCACCGGCUAACUCUGUGCCAGCCGCCGCGGUAACAC